UUUUAAAACUUUUAAGUGGAUAGAGGUAUCAUAAGCAACAUGUACUUUUUCAACUUUUAAAAAUAAAAAAAUAUUGAUUACAGCCACUUUAAAACAAGUGAUAUCUGGAUGUAGAUUUCACUUUGAAAUUCAUGUGUCAUAGCUUGAAACAUUAAUACAAACUAUCCUGUGAUUAAUUAAUGAAGGCUAUGUGCAAAUAUCUCAUUUUAGAAUAAGCAAAAAAUGCAGUCAACCCCUCUUCACUCAUGGAUAGGUAAAAAAUUAUCCAUAACAUCUGAACUGGCACUAGAAAAGCACUUAGAAGACAUUUGAGUAUGAUUAAAUCACAUGAACUCUGACAUAUCUUCCAAGUACCUGGCAUUAUUUUGAAUUUCAGCAGAAAAGGGAGAGAUGAAGGGAGUGACUGUGAACUUGGAGAAAAAGUGUGAUGUGGAUAAAGUUGCAAAAAAAGUAGUUUUCAAAACUGAAAAAGUAAUGAAUUAUUUUAUUAAACUUUCUAUACAAAAGAACAGUUAUCACAAGAAUAUGUAAAGCUGUUGUGGAAAAUGUCUUUUAGGAUAAAUAACUCCCUUAAACUAGUCCUCCUGGGGGCAAGGGAGGGAGUGAUUUUACAUUUUAUAAUAAAGGGUACUGUAAACUACUUGUAACAUUUUUUAGGCAAAUAAAAAAGUUAAACUAUUAAAAUGAGUUUACAAUGUUUGGCUUAAGGCAGCAAUUCCCAACAGUAAAGCUUAGAUGAAUAAAAACACUAUGUGUUACUUUGGUGGGGUAGGGGGUUGCGGUUCAUAUUAUUGGAAAUAUGAUAGUUUAAUGUCUGCAUGAGAUAUACAGAUAUCAUAUAACUUGCUGAUUACUCUUUUAUUUAUUCUUCUUAAAGUAGUAUGUCGACUUGCCUUUCACCGUGAGGGAGGAAAAGUUGCGAAAAUUGCCACCAGUGUGAAUUUAUACCGUGGUAACCACGCAAGAGAAUGAGGCAGGAAUUAGCACCAUGGACAGAGACGAGCAGACUCGAAUUAAGCUUUGCAAACCUUGGCAGGGUGUUUUCCGUCCCUUUCUGUGAGACACGGAAACUGCACGUCUUGGGAAUGUUUCAUUCCACGGGACUUUGCGGAAAAGACUGUCCUACUCUACGGAAACUCAUUUAUUUUGAAUUAGGCUGGCUUUUCUCAGGACUCAGCCAUUGUGACAAACCGCCAGGAGAGUUAGAGCCCCGAACGCUGCGUACCCUCUACUGUCCUCUUUUACAUACAUUCCCUAGCUGGAGUGAGCCCGCCUUUCGUCAGUGUUCAGACAAAAUAAAUGCAAAUACAGGUAGUCUUGGAGAAGUCUGGUAAACAUACUCCAGGGUUUUCAACCCUUGAAAUUCUCAGCUGGAAUUGCAGCAAAAAUGCCUACCUGCUCACCAUUGCUCCCUUCCCCCAGUUCUCCGGGUUCCCUCCACCCGUGGCAAAGGGGUAAAGCCUUUUAUCCGAAGGUGAGUGACUCCCAAGACUAUUUUGCGAAAGAUCCUUUACAUGGCAGACACUUUCAUUAGAGACAGUGCCAGGGGCGGCAGUGAACGGGAUCUCACACAUCCUUUACUUUCUCUUUACAUUGUGUCUUUAAACUCCUGUUCAAGGGGAAAACACUAAAGAGAGCACACUCAACGAAUAUUCCCCCUAAAUCCCGAGGUUGCUGUUUACACUUAAAGACACAUGAAUUGUUCAUUUAAAUGUUUUUAAAACAUGUAACUAGUGUCGCGGUAAACCUUUGAGACCAGACUAGGUUAGUUCUACCUUCCCAGCCCUCCACCUACACACACACACACACACACACACACACACACACCCUUUUUUCCCCCGAACCAAUGUAUGAAGUUCACUGGCCUUUAGAUGAUUUGCCUGCAGAUAUUCAGACUAAGAUCUGUUGCAUAUGCCCCAGAGUGUCUCAGAAAAUAUAUUUGCUGCCUCAGAUCGAUGAUUAUUUUAUGUAGACGCUCCCACAAAUGUCCCCAGAUUUCCCUCCCGUCUUUUACUCAAUAGCAACUUUUAGGAUGAUAAACUCACGUCUUUCCUGAGCGUGCAAAGGGAAAAUCUAGGUGACUAGCCAGGGUGAAGAAAAAAAAAAAAAAAAAACCACGGAGGUGAGAAAGGGCAAAUCAGCCUUAUGUGCGUUCCUUUCAGGGUUACUAACAGCCUUCUUUAAGCUUCCCCCUGGAGCCGAUACAUCUCAUGCAAAAUUAAUACAAGUAAUUAAAAAUAGCAAUUUCUAAAGUUAAAGGUAGCCAUCUGUCUCAGCUGGUAGCAAUCAGUCUUUUAUCCGGCCCCUGUACCGGGACCUGGGAAGAAACGGUUUUUCUGCUUCCGAUGCUCGGAGGCUCUUUCUUAUAUUGAAGAUUUAUGUUUCCACUUGUGCGCGAUGUACGUCUAAUUUGAAAUAAUAAAGCCGGGCUGAGCAACCAGUCAAUCAGAGCCAUCCAGGACGCUCAGCACGCCUCCCAGCCCUCCACCUCCCUCUGGUCUCUAACUCUUUCCCUCAUCCCCCACCCUCUUUCUCCUGGCCCUCCCCCUCCUCCUUCCUCCCUCCUCGGUUCUCACACGCGCUCACACUUCCCCCCCACGUGUGUUCAGAUCAAACCCUUGCCCCACAGAGCAAGUGACGGCACCGGGGCACGGUGACAAAGGCGGAGUUUGUAUCAGAAGAAGACUGAGGCCCGGGGAGACACAGCGGCUAGAGAAACAGCUGUCUUAUCAGCCCGCUGCAGAGAUGGAGAUGGCUCGAGAGGUCCUCAACAGAUAAUCACUUGAAUAGGUAAUGGCUAUAGGAUAAUUCAGGAAACAAAAAAUUCCAGUUUUGCAGUUCCCUCCUGGGCUUACAGUGCUAUGGAUUGAUACAGAGCUAUAGCUGUGGACUUUCAGUAAGUGAAAUGGAAGGAAACAACAUUUUGCAGCCUGAUGAAAGAAUGAACCUUAAACUUGUAGAGGUAUAAAUUCAUUGUAAGUCACAAUGGAAAACAGACUUAAUGUUUUUAUUUUAAGCUUCAAUAAGCAUCUGUCUGCAUCUUAAAUGUAUCACAUGAAUUGAUAAAAUUGACCCACUCAACGUCAAGCCCAGUCAUGUGACUUCCAGACUUCUAUGAGCAAGUGUAAUUAGCACCAAGAAGAAACACAUGAAUACACAUAGAACAGCUCCUGCUGCUGUUUAUUACCAUUUCACACUAACCUCUCUUAACUCUUCAUGUUGAUGUGAUUAAAUAAAAAAUCCAUUUCUCUGAUGCAGCAUUUUAAGGCUGAGGAUACUGUUGUAAUAGAAAUAAUAUUCUAUUCCUUUGGUCAUUAUCAUUCUGGUAUGAGAAAUUAGAGAAUACAGUUGCUUGAAAUGUCAGUUUUUGUAAACAUGAAUUGGAAGAUGUAACAUAAAUAAAUGGUGUUACAGACUGUUUAAGCUGUAUGAGUAACAUAUCAACAUUUCCUUGAAUUAUUUUGACACAAUUUACUGUGAAUUUUUUUUCUCUAGAUGAUAUUUCUGGAUUCCUGUGCAGACAAUAAAAGACUUUCUUUUAUUCAGUGCUUAUUAUUUAACUCAUAGAGUACUGAUAUAUUCUAGAAUAGUAAUAUUUCUAGAUGUAAAAUGAAUA